rnacentral:rRNA from 1 species
CCUACGGGUGGCAGCAGUGAGGAAUAUUGGUCAAUGGACGAGAGUCUGAACCAGCCAAGUAGCGUGAAGGAUGACUGCCCUAUGGGUUGUAAACUUCUUUUAUAUGGGAAUAAAACGUUCCACGUGUGGGAUUUUGUAUGUACCAUAUGAAUAAGGAUCGGCUAACUCCGUGCCAGCAGCCGCGGUAAUACGGAGGAUCCGAGCGUUAUCCGGAUUUAUUGGGGUUAAAGGGAGCGUAGGUGGAUUGUUAAGUCAGUUGUGAAAGUUUGCGGCUCAACCGUAAAAUUGCAGUUGAAACUGGCAGUCUUGAGUACAGUAGAGGUGAGCGGAAUGCGUGGUGUAGCGGUGAAAUGCUUAGAUAUCACGAAGAACUCCGAUUGCGAAGGCAGUUCACUGGACUGCAACUGACACUGAGGCUCGAAAGUGUGGGUAUCAAACAGGAUUAGAUACCCUGGUAGUA